GACGAACGCUGGCGGCGUGCUUAACACAUGCAAGUCGAACGGUGAAGCGCCUUCCUUUUUGGUGGGUGUGGAUGAGCGGCGAACGGGUGAGUAACACGUGAGUAACCUGCCCCCUUCUUCUGGAUAACCGCAUGAAAGUGUGGCUAAUACGGGAUAUUCUGGGUCUGUCGCAUGAUGGGUCUGGGAAAGAUAUUGUUUCGGUGGGGGAUGGGCUCGCGGCCUAUCAGCUUGUUGGUGGGGUGAUGGCCUACCAAGGCGGUGACGGGUAGCCGGCCUGAGAGGGUGGACGGUCACACUGGGACUGAGACACGGCCCAGACUCCUACGGGAGGCAGCAGUGGGGAAUAUUGCACAAUGGGCGAAAGCCUGAUGCAGCGACGCCGCGUGAGGGAUGGAGGCCGUCGGGUUGUGAACCUCUUUCGCCAGUGAAGCAGGCCUGCCUCGUUUGUGGGUGGGUUGACGGUAGCUGGAGAAGAAGCGCCGGCUAACUACGUG
rnacentral:rRNA from 1 species